UGCUUUCUGUGUAGAACUUCCCCAAUC
rnacentral:piRNA from 1 species